ensembl:snRNA U5 U5 spliceosomal RNA
UUCUCUGGUUUCUCUUGAGAUUGUAUAAAUCUUUCGCCUUUUACUAAAGAUUUUCAUGUUUUAGAAGACAUCUGAAGGGAGCCCUGGAUUUAAUGUUUGAUGUUUUGUUACAUUU